rnacentral:rRNA from 1 species
GUGGGGAAUCUUAGACAAUGGGGGAAACCCUGAUCUAGCCAUGCCGCGUGAGCGAUGAAGGCCUUAGGGUUGUAAAGCUCUUUCAGCUGGGAAGAUAAUGACGGUACCAGCAGAAGAAGCCCCGGCUAACUCCGUGCCAGCAGCCGCGGUAAUACGGAGGGGGCUAGCGUUGUUCGGAAUUACUGGGCGUAAAGCGCACGUAGGCGGAUUGGAAAGUUGGGGGUGAAAUCCCGGGGCUCAACCCCGGAACUGCCUUCAAAACUCCCAGUCUUGAGUGCGAGAGAGGUGAGGGGAAUUCCGAGUGUAGAGGUGAAAUUCGUAGAUAUUCGGAGGAACACCAGUGGCGAAGGCGGCUCACUGGCUCGAUACUGACGCUGAGGUGCGAAAGCGUGGGGAGCAAACAGGAUUAGAAACCCGGGUAGUCC